rnacentral:rRNA from 1 species
GCUUAUGGCCAUACCAGCCUGGCUAUGCCCGAUCUUGUCUGAUCUCGGAAGCUAAGCAGGUUUGGGCCUGGUUAGUACUUGGAUGGGAGACCGCCUGGGAAUACCAGGUUGUAAGCU